rnacentral:rRNA from 1 species
AUGAACGCUAGCUACAGGCUUAACACAUGCAAGUCGAGGGGCAGCAUGGUCUUAGCUUGCUAAGGCCGAUGGCGACCGGCGCACGGGUGAGUAACACGUAUCCAACCUGCCGUCUACUCUUGGACAGCCUUCUGAAAGGAAGAUUAAUACAAGAUGGCAUCAUGAGUCCACAUGUUCACAUGAUUAAAGGUAUUCCGGUAGACGAUGGGGAUGCGUUCCAUUAGAUAGUAGGCGGGGUAACGGCCCACCUAGUCUUCGAUGGAUAGGGGUUCUGAGAGGAAGGUCCCCCACAUUGGAACUGAGACACGGUCCAAACUCCUACGGGAGGCAGCAGUGAGGAAUAUUGGUCAAUGGGCGAGAGCCUGAACCAGCCAAGUAGCGUGAAGGAUGACUGCCCUAUGGGUUGUAAACUUCUUUUGUAAAGGAAUAAAGUCGGGUAUGGAUACCCGUUUGCAUGUACUUUAUGAAUAAGGAUCGGCUAACUCCGUGCCAGCAGCCGCGGUAAUACGGAGGAUCCGAGCGUUAUCCGGAUUUAUUGGGUUUAAAGGGAGCGUAGAUGGAUGUUUAAGUCAGUUGUGAAAGUUUGCGGCUCAACCGUAAAAUUGCAGUUGAUACUGGAUAUCUUGAGUGCAGUUGAGGCAGGCGGAAUUCGUGGUGUAGCGGUGAAAUGCUUAGAUAUCACGAAGAACUCCGAUUGCGAAGGCAGCCUGCUAAGCUGCAACUGACAUUGAGGCUCGAAAGUGUGGGUAUCAAACAGGAUUAGAUACCCUGGUAGUCCACACGGUAAACGAUGAAUACUCGCUGUUUGCGAUAUACGGCAAGCGGCCAAGCGAAAGCGUUAAGUAUUCCACCUGGGGAGUACGCCGGCAACGGUGAAACUCAAAGGAAUUGACGGGGGCCCGCACAAGCGGAGGAACAUGUGGUUUAAUUCGAUGAUACGCGAGGAACCUUACCCGGGCUUAAAUUGCAGAUGAAUUACGGUGAAAGCCGUAAGCCGCAAGGCAUCUGUGAAGGUGCUGCAUGGUUGUCGUCAGCUCGUGCCGUGAGGUGUUGGGUUAAGUCCCGCAACGAGCGCAACCCCUGUUUCCAGUUGCCAGCACAUAAAGGUGGGGACUCUAUCGAGACUGCCGUCGUAAGAUGUGAGGAAGGUGGGGAUGACGUCAAAUCAGCACGGCCCUUACGUCCGGGGCUACACACGUGUUACAAUGGGGGGUACAGAGGGCCGCUACCACGCGAGUGGAUGCCAAUCCCAAAAACCUCUCUCAGUUCGGACUGGAGUCUGCAACCCGACUCCACGAAGCUGGAUUCGCUAGUAAUCGCGCAUCAGCCACGGCGCGGUGAAUACGUUCCCGGGCCUUGUACACACCGCCCGUCAAGCCAUGGGAGCCGGGGGUACCUGAAGUGCGUAACCGCGAGGAGCGCCCUAGGGUAAAACUGGUGACUGGGGCU